CGUUGAUCUUCUUCUGCGGAGGCAGAGUUCAGCCACACUAUUACGUAAUAAAGUGGCACAUUUCACAACCUUUUGGCAGAGGUUUCAAUAUAA